rnacentral:rRNA from 1 species
UGCGUAGGCGGGUUUUUAAGUCAGAGGUGAAAUCCUGGAGCUCAACUCCAGAACUGCCUUUGAUACUGAAAGUCUUGAGUAUGGGAGAGGUGAGUGGAACUGCGAGUGUAGAGGUGAAAUUCGUAGAUAUUCGCAAGAACACCAGUGGCGAAGGCGGCUCACUGGCCCAUAACUGACGCUGAGGCACGAAAGCUGGGGGAGCAAACA